AUACGGAGGGUGCAAGCGUUAUCCGGAUUUAUUGGGUUUAAAGGGUCCGUAGGCGGAUCUGUAAGUCAGUGGUGAAAUCUCACAGCUCAACUGUGAAACUGCCAUUGAUACUGCAGGUCUUGAGUGUUGUUGAAGUAGCUGGAAUAAGUAGUGUAGCGGUGAAAUGCAUAGAUAUUACUUAGAACACCAAUUGCGAAGGCAGGUUACUAAGCAACAACUGACGCUGAUGGACGAAAGCGUGGGGAGCGAACAGGAUUAGAUACCCUGGUAGUCCACGCCGUAAACGAUGCUAACUCGUUUUUGGGUUUUCGGAUUCAGAGACUAAGCGAAAGUGAUAAGUUAGCCACCUGGGGAGUACGGACGCAAGUCUGAA
rnacentral:rRNA from 1 species